rnacentral:rRNA from 1 species
CCUACGGGAGGCAGCAGUGGGGAAUCUUGCGCAAUGGGCGGAAGCCUGACGCAGCGACGCCGCGUGGGGGAUGACGGCCUUCGGGUUGUAAACCUCUUUCGCCAUCGACGAAGCCCUUCGGGGUGACGGUAGGUGGAGAAGAAGCACCGGCCAACUACGUGCCAGCAGCCGCGGUAACACGUAGGGUGCGAGCGUUGUCCGGAAUUAUUGGGCGUAAAGAGCUCGUAGGCGGUUUGUCGCGUCGGCCGUGAAAACCUGGGGCUUAACUCCGGGCGUGCGGUCGAUACGGGCAGACUUGAGUGUGGCAGGGGAGACUGGAAUUCCUGGUGUAGCGGUGAAAUGCGCAGAUAUCAGGAGGAACACCGGUGGCGAAGGCGGGUCUCUGGGCCGAUACUGACGCUGAGGAGCGAAAGCGUGGGGAGCGAACAGGAUUAGAUACCCUGGUAGUCCACGCUGUAAACGUUGGGCGCUAGGUGUGGGGCAUGUUCACGUGUUCCGUGCCGUAGCUAACGCAUUAAGCGCCCCGCCUGGGGAGUACGGCCGCAAGGCUAAAACUCAAAGGAAUUGACGGGGGCCCGCACAAGCGGCGGAGCAUGUGGAUUAAUUCGAUGCAACGCGAAGAACCUUAC